CAAUCGAAGAGUUUGAUCAUGGCUCAGAUUGAACGUUGGCGGCAGGCUUUAUACAUGCAAGUCGAACGGUAACAGCGGAAGCUUGCUUCCGGCUGACGAGUGGCGGACGGGUGAGUAACGCGUAGGAAUCUACCCUGUAGUGGGGGAUAACCCGGGGAAACUCGGGCUAAUACCGCAUAUGUCCCUUGGGACAAAGGGGGCCUCUGACUCUUCGGAGAAAAUGCUCUCGCUAUAGGAUGAGCCUGCGUCGGAUUAGCUAGUUGGUGGGGUAAUGGCCUACCAAGGCGACGAUCCGUAGCUGGUCUGAGAGGACGACCAGCCACACUGGAACUGAGACACGGUCCAGACUUCUACGGAAGGCAGCAGUAAGGAAUUUUGGACAAUGGGCGCAAGCCUGAUCCAGCCAUGCCGCGUGUGUGAAGAAGGCCUUAGGGUUGUAAAGCACUUUCAGGGGUGAAGAAAAUCUCGGAGUGAAUACCUCCGAGCCUUGACGUUAACCCCACAAGAAGCACCGGCUAACUCCGUGCCAGCAGCCGCGGUGAUACGGAGGGUGCGAACGUUAAUCGGAAUUACUGGGCGUAAAGCGCGCGUAGGCGGUUUGUUAAGUGAGGUGUGAAAGCCCCGGGCUCAACCUGGGAACUGCAUUUCAGACUGGCAGACUAGAGUUUGGUAGAGGAAGGUGGAAUUCCCUGUGUAGCGGUGAAAUGCGUAGAUAUAGGGAAGAAUACCAGUGGCGAAGGCGGCCUUCUGGAUCAAAACUGACGCUGAGGUGCGAAAGCGUGGGGAGCAAACAGGAUUAGAUACCCUGGUAG
rnacentral:rRNA from 1 species